rnacentral:rRNA from 1 species
GACGAACGCUGGCGGCGUGCCUAAUACAUGCAAGUUGAGCGCUGAAGGUUGGUACUUGUACCGACUGGAUGAGCAGCGAACGGGUGAGUAACGCGUGGGUAAUCUGCCUUUGAGCGGGGGACAACAUUUGGAAACGAAUGCUAAUACCGCAUAAAAACUUUAAACACAAGUUUUAAGUUUGAAAGAUGCAAUUGCAUCACUCAAAGAUGAUCUCGCGUUGUAUUAGCUAGUUGGUGAGGUAAAGGCUCACCAAGGCGAUGAUACAUAGCCGACCUGAGAGGGUGAUAGGCCACAUUGGGACUGAGACACGGCCCAAACUCCUAAGGGAGGCAGCAGUAGGGAAUCCUCGGCAAUGGACGAAAGGCUGAACGAGCAACGCCGCGUGAGGGAAGAAGGUUUUCGGAUCGUAAAACUCUGUUGGUAGAGAAGAAAGUUGGUGAGAGUGGAAAGCUCAUCAAGUGACGGUAACUACCCAGAAAGGGACGGCUAACUACGUG